rnacentral:lncRNA from 1 species
GUUCAGCAAGAAGAGAGGCGACCUGAGCUGUAGCAGCUUGUGGACGUUUGUGGAUAAGGCCAGGCUGUCAUGAGCUGAAGUGAGCUGUAAAGUUAAAGGAGCAUGGACCAUGUAUCUGGUCUGAUACAUGGGAAGGUUCAUAGGAGCCUAUAAGCAGCCAAUCAGAAGCCAGCCCUUGCCUUGACCAGAUUUGAAUUAACCAAUUAGACACCAUCAUCUAUCAUCCAAUCACAAGACAUCACACAGAUUGCAAACUCACCCUCCAUCCUAGCCAUCCAUUCAUCUCAAGUUAUUUCUAUCCAUUAGAUUAAGGGUUUAUGUAAUUGCAAAGUGUAAAGCCUAUAUAAAGGCUAUGUAGUGGCGACGUGUAACCCUAAGGGAGUAAGGGGGAGUUCCCCUCUCCACUUCAUGAAUGAUAAACUUGUUCUUGAAUCUGAAACCCUAAUCUCUAAUCUCUUAUUCUCCUAAUCUCUCAGUCUCUUAAUCUCUGUUCCUAAGUCUCUUAUUCUCUCAUAAACACUCUCAUCAAUCUCUCUUUCUAAAUCACCUAGAACAAGCUCUCAUCUUUCUCCAUUGGAGGUUAUACACACACACAUACAACCAGAGAAGAGAACUCUACAAAUCUCAUAUGGUAUCAGAGCCAGGUUCAUCAGAACCUGAGAUGUAACUUCCGCAAAGCACUUGCUCCCAUCUCAGCUCAAACCAAAGCGUAGAAGA